rnacentral:rRNA from 1 species
UACAGAGGUCUCAAGCGUUGUUCGGAUUCAUUGGGCGUAAAGGGUGCGUAGGCGGCGCGGUAAGUCGGGUGUGAAAUCUCGGAGCUUAACUCCGAAACUGCAUUCGAUACUACCGUGCUUGAGGACUGGAGAGGAGACUGGAAUUUACGGUGUAGCGGUGAAAUGCGUAGAUAUCGUAAGGAAGACCAGUGGCGAAGGCGGGUCUCUGGACAGUUCCUGACGCUGAGGCACGAAGGCCAGGGGAGCAAACAGG